GCACAACUUUUACCCGAGCUGACUGCAGCCAUUUUCUACACCUCGGCUCUGGCAAGAUUUGACUUACCUGAGGAAAUUCUGUCAUCUUACAUUUACAAGGUUACGGCUUACCAAGAUUGUUAAGUGCCAUGUUUUAAAGGAUUCUCUGGCAUGUUCUAAGUCUCUGGCGAAGAAUGUCCACCUUAAAAGAGAAGCCAUCAUAAAAGCUCUUUGUCGGCACCUGAAUGAUGAUGAUGAUGGAUUUCUUAUCAAGGAGUACAGGGACGUUCAUGGUGAAGACAUAUUGAGAGACCAGCACAGCACUGAAAUGGGCAUUUAUGUCAUCAGAAGAGGGUGGAACUCUUGGAGAAUAUGAAGACGUUGACGCUGAUGGAAACGUUAUUGUAGGAAACAUCAAAUCAGUUGCACCAGACUGCACAAUGGGUGGAAAUACUGCUAUGAAUUUGUACAUUCCUCAUGCCAAAGGAUGGUGCAAAGCUCUCCCCUAAUAUUCUUGGUUUGGAGAACAAAAUCUUGGGAUAGUCAAAAUAGGCUGUCCAUUCUGGAAAUAUAUGGAACUUUUCACACUAGCUUCUGUUUUGAUUGAAAAGCAAUGGGCUUUUGAACAAUGCUUAAGUCACAUGAAACAAGUAUGGCUGUAUUUGUCAACAUCUCUUUUAAAAUUCAAUGACAUUUCAGUGAUUUUCUAUACAACAUGUCAAGAUCCUGGUCAUGUUUAGGAACAAUUUGUCUUAAAACAGCAUGCAGUUAAAUUUUAGUCUUUUUUUGCUAAAGCUGUACAAAGUAGUCUUUUGAACAAUUUGAGGUCUAUAAAUUUUCACCCUAAAUUUGCAAAGUCUAACAAGCAGCAUAAGGUUGUGCUAACUAGAGGCAGUGCUUUGACAAGAAGGCUGUACUCUGUAGGCACUAUUUCUGGGGCAUUAUUUUGAUCAUUAUACAAUAUCCAAUUAUCAUCAAAGUCAUAUAACAUUUAAUACUGUAUUAUUGUGCUGUUCUAUUUUAAAUAUCUGUUGUUGUAAAGUUGCACUUAAGGUUGGUGUUAUCAUUACAUAAUUACUGAAUCUUACUUCAUUGUUUCAUAAAUUCUGGGCCACUACUUAAGACUUAAUUAAUUGUGAUUAAAGGCACACACAUUUAGGUGAAUGUGUUUAUAAUUGCAGUGUUCUAUUUGAAGCUUAUUGUUGUAUGUAAAGUUGCAUUUUAGCUUGUGUUGCCUGCAAGACAAGCAAUAAUGUAUUGAUACCUGUGCACUUUUAGAGAAGUAUUUAGUCUAUUUUUUUACUACUUUGCUUUAUUUUGUCUACAGUUGUUUUAUUACUUAU